UACGAAGGGGGGCUAGCGUUGUUCGGAAUUACUGGGCGUAAAGCGCACGUAGGCGGAUCAGCAAGUUAGGGGUGAAAUCCCGGGGCUCAACCCCCGGAACUGCCUUUAAGACUGUUGGUCUGGAGUCCGAGAGAGGUGAGUGGAAUUCCGAGUGUAGAGGUGAAAAUUCGUAGAUAUUCGGAGGAACACCAGUGGCGAAGGCGGCUCACUGGCUCGGUACUGACGCUGAGGUGCGAAAGCGUGGGGAGCAAACAGG
rnacentral:rRNA from 1 species